AAUAUUUUUGGUUACUUGGGAAUACGAUGAUGUUCUGGUGACGUGGAACAUGCUGAGAUUUGGACUUCAAUCCUUGAUUGUGCACGCGGAUUUCCGAAACGAGUAGAAGACUAAUAACUUCUACAACAUCAAAGAUCUCUGAGAUUUUAGAUUGCAGGGCCGCCGCCAUUGCUGAACACAAACGGGGAUCGAAGCAGGCCAAUCUCCGAGGUGGACCGGGCAACGGAUCGUGGAGAGGCGCCCAAGGAUUUUUUUUUUGCUUCUGUUGAUUGUGCCAUCCAAUUGGUUUAGACUUUUCACCAUUGCUAAUUACUAGGGGCGUAUGGGUGCCGGACCUGCAUGCACCUGCAGAUAUAAUAUGGAAAAUGACUGUCAUUUAGAAUUACUUCCAAGCUGCAUCGUCUAUCUGAAUGUCAGCCCGAAACCACUGGUUGGCACACAUAAAAUUUUGGAAGUUAAUGCAUUUCCACAAUAGAGAUGGGAAAUGGAUACAUCGUUGUCGUCCUUAAGUGAGCAGCCGAGGAGGAGCUCCUCCAUGCUGAUGAUGUGGAAGACAGAUACCCUGUCCGCGACGCCUGGUUCUGGCCUCAUAUACAUUGACUUCCUAUGUCAUCAGCAAAUGCAGUGGAGAAGAAGCCGGUUCACCACAUGAUCAUUUAAUUUGUUAUUGUUUUUUAACUAUUCCCUGUUGCAUGUAUAAUCAGAAAAAAUAAAACUCCUCCUUUCGGCCCAUACUAGGAGUCUGGAAGUGAUACUUUUGUGAGGAGUGCUGGAACAUGACUGGAUCAAGCGAGACAGAGAACAAUGGAUGAAAGAAAGAGAUCAGAAAAGGGAUUCACUCCUGACCACCUCAUACAUAUAUACAUGUUGAAAAUAUUGUUGAUUUUGAUUUAAAAAUGGCUAAAUUGGAGGAAAGCAUUUCUGCUACAUUCAUCGGCAAUACUGCACCAUAUACUAUAGAAGCUUGGGCCACUAAAUCAGCUGUUUCUAAUGGAUCUUCUUGGACUCAACAGUAUCAAUCUACUUCCCAGGCAUGUGGUUUAUUUUAUUCUUCAGCUCAAUGGAAAACCAUGGCAAGUUCUGUUUUACCUUUAGGGUGUUGUCAAAAUGAUUUCAAUGAGACCAAUUAAGUGAAUAGCCUAUGGAAAAAUGAUGACCUGUUGUUAAAAUGAAAUAAAAACAGAUAAACAGAAAAAUGAUGAUCUAUUGUUGAUUGUCUUCAACAGAAACAAACCUGUUCAUAGUUUUCUUGUGUUUUUUCUUCGAUGUGACUCUUUGCCUGACAUGUUGAUGUUACUAUGUAUCCAUAUUGGAUUUC